AUCAUCCAAUAUAUCAACUUCACUCACAGUUUGAACAACAACACGUGGUUCACGGAUAGGCUUAACAAUUGGUGUAAUAUCCAUGCCACCAUCCAUUUUCCUUCUUUUUGCAAAUGGAUCAUCCUCGUCCAUCUGAUCAUUAGCACUAUGCAACUGAGACACUGUACCUUCAAGACCAUCAUCACCUGCUUGUCGAGGUGAUAGUGGAUUACCGCCGGGCUCAGUGUUACUAGUCUGGGCAUUAGUGUUGAAUUUGUCUUCUUGACCAGUGAGGCAUGCAUCUCUCUCACCUCUGUCUUCUUGGAUGGAAGUAAGCACACCAGGAGUAAACCUACGGCUGGGCUGGGGUUUAGGAUGAUCAUGGGAACCUUUAUACACAAUCUCUGUUAUUUGUCCAUCAGGAGAGCGCUCAAAUAUCUUUUUAACUUCACAGUUUG
rnacentral:misc_RNA from 1 species